rnacentral:rRNA from 1 species
UACAGGGGGCUCGAGCGUUAGUCGGAAUCACUGGGCUUAAAGGGCGCGUAGGCGGGCUCGCAAGUCAGGGGUGAAAUCCCACGGCUCAACCGUGGAAGUGCCUUUGAUACUGCGGGCCUUGAGGGAGGUAGGGGCGUGCGGAACUUCCGGUGGAGCGGUGAAAUGCGUAGAUAUCGGAAGGAACACCGGUGGCGAAAGCGGCGCGCUGGACCUCUUCUGACGCUGAGGCGCGAAAGCCAGGGGAGCAAACGGG